rnacentral:rRNA from 1 species
AUUGAACGCUGGCGGCAGGCCUAACACAUGCAAGUCGAGCGGAAACGAGUUAACUGAACCUUCGGGGAACGUUAACGGCGUCGAGCGGCGGACGGGUGAGUAAUGCCUGGGAAAUUGCCCUGAUGUGGGGGAUAACCAUUGGAAACGAUGGCUAAUACCGCAUAAUAGCUUCGGCUCAAAGAGGGGGACCUUCGGGCCUCUCGCGUCAGGAUAUGCCCAGGUGGGAUUAGCUAGUUGGUGAGGUAAGGGCUCACCAAGGCGACGAUCCCUAGCUGGUCUGAGAGGAUGAUCAGCCACACUGGAACUGAGACACGGUCCAGACUCCUACGGGAGGCAGCAGUGGGGAAUAUUGCACAAUGGGCGCAAGCCUGAUGCAGCCAUGCCGCGUGUAUGAAGAAGGCCUUCGGGUUGUAAAGUACUUUCAGCAGUGAGGAAGGUGGUAGUGUUAAUAGCACUAUCAUUUGACGUUAGCUGCAGAAGAAGCACCGGCUAACUCCGUGCCAGCCGCCGCCGUAACAC